GACGAACGCUGGCGGCGUGCCUAAUACAUGCAAGUAGAACGCUGAAGGAGGAGCUUGCUUCUCUGGAUGAGUUGCGAACGGGUGAGUAACGCGUAGGUAACCUGCCUGGUAGCGGGGGAUAACUAUUGGAAACGAUAGCUAAUACCGCAUAACAGUAGAUGUUGCAUGACAUUUGCUUAAAAGGUGCAAUUGCAUCACUACCAGAUGGACCUGCGUUGUAUUAGCUAGUUGGUGGGGUAACGGCUCACCAAGGCGACGAUACAUAGCCGACCUGAGAGGGUGAUCGGCCACACUGGGACUGAGACACGGCCCAGACUCCUACGGGAGGCAGCAGUAGGGAAUCUUCGGCAAUGGACGGAAGUCUGACCGAGCAACGCCGCGUGAGUGAAGAAGGUUUUCGGAUCGUAAAGCUCUGUUGUAAGAGAAGAACGGGUGUGAGAGUGGAAAGUUCACACUGUGAC
rnacentral:rRNA from 1 species